CAACUUUUAACAAUGGAUCUCUUGGUUCUCGCAUCGAUGAAGAACGUAGCAAAGUGCGAUAACUAGUGUGAAUUGCAUAUUCGUGAAUCAUCGAGUCUUUGAACGCAGCUUGCACUCUAUGGAUCUCCCAUAGAGUACGCCUGCUUCAGUACCAUGUA
rnacentral:rRNA from 1 species